UAGUCCACGCUGUAAACGAUGUCUACUAGCCGUUGGUUUCCUUGAGGAAGCAGUGGCGCAGCUAACGCGAUAAGUAGACCGCCUGGGGAGUACGGCCGCAAGGUUAAAACUCAAAUGAAUUGACGGGGGCCCGCACAAGCGGUGGAGCAUGUGGUUUAAUUCGAUGCAACGCGAAGAACCUUACCAGGUCUUGACAUCCUGAAAACUUUCUAGAGAUAGAUUGGUGCCUUCGGGAAUUCAGUGACAGGUGCUGCAUGGCUGUCGUCAGCUCGUGUCGUGAGAUGUUGGGUUAAGUCCCGUAACGAGCGCAACCCUUGUCCUUAGUUGCUAGCAGGUAAUGCUGAGAACUCUAAGGAGACUGCCGGUGACAAACCGGAGGAAGGUGGGGACGACGUCAAGUCCUCAUGGCCCUUAUGUCCAGGGCUACACACGUGAUACAAUGGCAAGUACAAUGGGAUGCGAACCUGCGAGGGGGAGCGAAAUCUCUAAAAGCUUGUCUCAGUCCGG
rnacentral:rRNA from 1 species